rnacentral:rRNA from 1 species
AUUGAACGCUGGCGGCAUGCUUUACACAUGCAAGUCGAACGGUAACAGGCCUUCGGGUGCUGACGAGUGGCGAACGGGUGAGUAAUGCAUCGGAACGUGCCCAGAGGUGGGGGAUAACGCAGCGAAAGCUGUGCUAAUACCGCAUGUGAUCUGAGGAUGAAAGCGAGGGACCAGGCAGCAAUGUUUGGCCUCGCGCCUUUGGAGCGGCCGAUGUCAGAUUAGGUAGUUGGUGGGGUAAAGGCCUACCAAGCCGACGAUCUGUAGCUGGUCUGAGAGGACGACCAGCCACACUUGGACUGAGACACGGCCCAGACUCCUACGGGAGGCAGCAGUGGGGAAUUUUGGACAAUGGGCGCAAGCCUGAUCCAGCAAUGCCGCGUGCGGGAAGAAGGCCUUCGGGUUGUAAACCGCUUUUGUACGGAACGAAAAGGCUCUGGCUAAUACCUGGGGCUGAUGACGGUACCGUAAGAAUAAGCACCGGCUAACUACGUG